CCUACGGGUGGCUGCAGUAGGGAAUUUUCGGCAAUGGUGGGAACCCUGACCGAGCAACGCCGCGUGAACGAAGAAGUUAUUCGUAAUGUAAAGUUCUUUUUACAUGGAAGACAGAGAAAUUCGACGGUACCUGAAGAAUAAGCUCCGGCUAACUACGUGCCAGCAGCCGCGGUAAUACGUAGGUAGCGUGGGUUAUCUGCAAUUAUUGGUCGUAAGGGGUGCGUAGAUGGCAUAGUAAGUCAUUUGUAAAAAUGCUGGGCUCAACCCAGUAGGGCAAAAGAUACUGUAAAGCUAGAGUAUGACAGAGGCAAGUGGAACUACAGGUGUAGCGGUAAAAUGCGUAAAUAUAUGUAAGAACACCAGUGGCGAAGGCGGCUUACUGGGUCGAUACUGACAUUGAGGCACGAAAGCGUGGGGAGCAAACAGGAUUAGAUACCCCAGUAGUC
rnacentral:rRNA from 1 species